GGAGAGAUGGCCCAGUGGGUAAGAGCACUGGAGCUCUUCCUAAGAACCUGGUUUCAAUUCCCAGUGUCUCCA
rnacentral:tRNA from 1 species